GUAUGAUGCACCUAGAUAUAAUCUAUCGAUCUUAAUAGAAAAAGAGAAGUCCUAUGUGAUUUGUGAGAUUGAGUUCAGAAAGUCUUUGACCAAAGUAAGUGUAAAUACCAAAAAAAAAUUUUCACGAGAUUCACAAGUGAACUCGAAUUGAGCCAAUCUAGUAUAUGACUGACGAUGGGAUCUGAUGAGUUCUCCAUGAUCUUCAUCAAGUCGGGACUCACGAU
rnacentral:lncRNA from 1 species